AAGAGUCAGGGUGAGAGCAAAGUACAUCAUUUGGUGUGAAAGACAUCCAUGGCCAGGAACCCAGACCGGAGUACACUAACAGGAAGGCACCCAGGAAGGUUCUGGUCAGGUACUCCAUGAUGUCUGAUUGGACAGCGCUGACAGGAGUGUGGUGGAACCAGCGCAUGACAGGCACCCCAUCGGACCCCACCAGGAACUUCUCGAAGUUCCAGCGUAUGUCAUGGACCUUCAUGGGAUUCCAGAAGAGAUAUUCCGAAGAACCCAACAGUUCAGAGAUUUUCCCUAUUCUCAUCCUCAAAGAAGCCAAAUGUGGAGAGAGAACUUGGGCAUUUCCUGAGGGCUACUUGGAAUUCAAGGCAUCAUGAUGGCAUUCUUCAAUCCAUUGUUCCAUCACCUACCUAGUGAGAAGAUUCUGGAACAUGAAGGUUCUUGUUUUCCAAACUGGUUGCAAGGAAAGCCCAAAACGAUGACAUUGAAGCGCUCCAGCUCCUCCUGCAGUUUGUUCAGUUCUG